rnacentral:rRNA from 1 species
CCUACGGGAGGCAGCAGUCGAGAAUCAUUCACAAUGGGGGAAACCCUGAUGGUGCGACGCCGCGUGGGGGAAUGAAGGUCUUCGGAUUUUAAACCCCUGUCAUGUGGGAGCAAAUUAAAAAGAUAGUACCACAAGAGGAAGAGACGGCUAACUCUGUGCCAGCAGCCGCGGUAAUACAGAGGUCUCAAGCGUUGUUCGGAAUCACUGGGCGUAAAGCGUGCGUAGGCUGUUUCGUAAGUCGUGUGUGAAAGGCGCGGGCUCAACCCGCGGACGGCACAUGAUACUGCGAGACUAGAGUAAUGGAGGGGGAACCGGAAUUCUCGGUGUAGCAGUGAAAUGCGUAGAUAUAGAGAGGAACACUCGUGGCGAAGGCGGGUUCCUGGACAUUAACUGACGCUGAGGCACGAAGGCCAGGGGAGCGAAAGGGAUUAGAUACCCUAGUAGUC